rnacentral:lncRNA from 10 species
ACGGUACCCACUGGAUAUGCCCGAGGCCUCCAGAGGAAAGGAAAGGAGGAAAAGGGACAGAAGAAAUGUUCACAGGAACUGCAUAUGGGCCUGCUACUUGUGUCAAAAUGUGACUGAACUCUCUUCCAGCAGGUGUGGGGAAAAGAGUGACUUCACCUUAAAUGUUAACCUGCCAUGUAACUUCUGACUAAUCCCAGGUCCAGAAAUGCCUCCAAAUGUCUCGUUGCUGUAUUACUCUUUAUGUGGAAACACCUGUUCACUUGUGAAUCCCUGGAAGGCAAGAUCGCCAUUCUGGUCUCUUGUGGAUAUCAAUGCUGAUCUCAGCUUCUGAUGCACGGCAGUCAAUUAAUAAAUGAUUGUUGCCUGAAAAACUGAGCCCCAAAACAAUAUUACAAGUUUAAUAUCAGUAAAGGAUUUAAUGCUUUCUAACAUGAAGAUACCAGAUCUUUUCUAUUCCUGGACUUUUAGAGUUGCUGAUUUUUGUAUAACCCAGAGAUGGAUUUAAAUGCAGAGUGUAUGAACUUCUUCAUUCCUGAGGGAGGACUUAUGAUUUCAUGAGAAAUGCCCUAGGAAAGGGGCCGGGGAGACUGAUGGAGAAGAAGAGUUUGGGAGGGAAGCCCCAAGGACCAUCUGCCCCAUCAGAGUCACAUGCAGAGGGUCCUGCUCCUGCCGUUGGAAGUUGGCUUCCUGAGCUGCUGAACGUGCCAGUCCUGCUGACCCACUCUCAGAUAUCACAGGCACCCGCUGUGUCUGACAGAGACCUUUCUGCAAGUACACGUGCAGGUCUGCUCUGCAAAGGCGUUAUCAUCUGCAGAUUAUUGCACAGAGUGGCUACGAGCUGUGGUGUGAUCCUGUCACAGAGAGAGCCUGGUCACGUUUUCAGAACAGCAGGAAACAGGUACACCUGUAAGCUUAUACUUAUCAGAUUUAAAAAUAAAACAAAAAAUCCAUGCUAUUCCAUGAAAAUCGGACUCAAAUAAACUUAGUCACUGAUCUGUGAAGUAAAUAAUCUGAUGGUAAUGCAUCAGUUGACACUUGGGCCUGGGUUUUUAGGCACUAAUGAAAGCCAGGGGCAAAAUAAUUUUUAAUCUACCAUUAUUUCCCUUGAUGGUUCGACAAAAGUUCUUGUACUAGAAAGUUUUAUAAAACUACUUUCUGAGUGUCCUGUGACAUUUCUCUGAUGAUAUAAAAAGUCAAUAUUUGAUAGCUUAAAUAUCAAUAUUGACAGAAAUAUGAUUAUUUAAAUAAAAACACAAAUAGUAAAAUAA